rnacentral:rRNA from 1 species
CCUACGGGUGGCUUCAGUGAGGAAUAUUGGUCAAUGGGCGCUAGCCUGAACCAGCCAAGUAGCGUGAAGGAUGACUGCCCUAUGGGUUGUAAACUUCUUUUAUAUGGGAAUAAACUGCAUUAUGUAUACUUCUUUGCAUGUACCUUAUGAAUAAGGAUCGGCUAACUCCGUGCCAGCAGCCGCGGUAAUACGGAGGAUCCGAGCGUUAUCCGGAUUUAUUGGGUUUAAAGGGAGCGUAGGCGGGUUCUUAAGUCAGUUGUGAAAUUUUGCGGCUCAACCGUAAAAUUGCAGUUGAUACUGGUGGCCUUGAGUACGUGAGAGGUAGGCGGAAUUCGUGGUGUAGCGGUGAAAUGCUUAGAUAUCACGAAGAACUCCGAUUGCGAAGGCAGCCUACUGGAGUGUAACUGACGCUGAUGCUCGAAAGUGUGGGUAUCAAACAGGAUUAGAUACCCGUGUAGUC